AGCUAGUUGGUAGGGUAAAGGCCUACCAAGGCUACGACGGGUCGCUGGUCUGAGAGGACGACCCAGCCACACUGGCACUGAGAUACGGGCCAGACUCCUACGGGAGGCAGCAGUGAGGAAUAUUGCGCAAUGGGGGAAACCCUGACGCAGCAACGCCGCGUGUGGGAAGAAGGCCUUCGGGUCGUAAACCACUUUUGCACGGGACGAAAAAGGGAUAUCGAACAAAUAUCCCCGAUGACGGUACCGUGAGAAUAAGCCACGGCUAACUCUGUGCCAGCAGCCGCGGUAAGACAGAGGUGGCAAGCGUUGUUCGGAAUUACUGGGCGUAAAGAGUCUGUAGGUGGUUUGUCAAGUCUUUGGUGAAAGGCCGUAGCUUAACUAUGGGAAUGCCAAAGAGACUGGCAGGCUGGAGGCUGGGAGAGGGAAGCGGAAUUUCUGGUGUAGCGGUGAAAU
rnacentral:rRNA from 1 species